rnacentral:misc_RNA from 1 species
GAUGAAGAACGUAGCGAAAUGCGAUAAGUAAUGUGAAUUGCAGAAUUCAGUGAAUCAUCGAAUCUUUGAACGCACAUUGCGCCCCUUGGUAUUCCGAGGGGCAUGCCUGUUCGAGCGUCAUUAUAACCCCUCAAGCUCAGCUUGGUGUUGGGGCCUGCUGCACUGGCAGCCCUUAAAAUCAGUGGCGGCGCCAUCUGGCUCUAAGCGUAGUAAUUCCUCUCGCUAUGGAGUCCUGGUGGAUGCUUGCCAUCAACCCCCAAUUUUUCUAUGGUUGACCUCGGAUCAGGUAGGGAUACCCGCUGAACUUAAGCAUAUCAAUAAGCGGAGGA